CGGGCACUUUUCACAUUGGUUUAUAGAGGCGAGCGUUUCGUCAGCAACUCCGGAUGAGGAAAGAAACGAACGUCACCUGGACGAUCGCAGCAAUAAAGGAGAAAAGUCUAUCCCGGCCUGGAUCUCAAAGGGAGCCAUUGAAGAGAGGGAGAAAAAUACUGUGAACUUGGCACCUCGUGCCCUGAGACUCUGCAACAGAGAAGUGGGAAAUUCUGCGGGACACCAUGCACCACACAGCCUUGGCUAACUUUGGGAAGAAGACCUCGAAGACACACUACUGGUUUGAGGACAAGUCGACCGAGAUGACUCCCGUCAUCAAAGCCAAGCACGCCGCCCUAGCCGAGUACAAGCGAUCAGCCAAUGAGAAGAACCUGCAGAUCCUCAGGGCUGCCAGGAGCAAGGU